GGAGUGUGGGUGUGUGUGCUCCAACCAAAGCGUGUUGUGUGACUUGCCUCUGGAUUUUACUGAGUCUUCGCCAUGAGUGAGCGGUUUAAGGUGUCCUCCAGACGGAGGACCGCAGACCAACUACGGUUCCAUAGAUACCGAUGACUUGGACGGUAAGGUGUCGUUCCCCACGUCACCUGGUGGUGGAGAGAGUGUGGGUGGUGGUGGUGGUGGUGGUGAUGAUGAUGAUGGAGAUAGUCUUGGUAGUGUUGGGGCAGCUACUGGCGACCCCGACACCGCUACACCACUCAGCUUCAGCAUGGCCAACGACGGGAUGAUGGCACCCAUCCUCCCAGGAGCCAUGCCCACAGACACUGCGGGUCUCAUACCUGACAGACCCAAAAGCAAGUCAUCCCGACGUAAAGGUG